UUGUUUUUUUCUAACUCCCAGAUUGUGAAUUCCAGUUAUGUGCUUCUUAUUAAUUGCUGAAUGGAAAACUGCUUGAUGGCAGUAGGCCUAUUGUUUAAAGCAACAAAAGAAAACAAAGGAGAAAGAUAGAGAACCGGAAUGUGUGUAUCAAUUGUUAAAUGUGGCUGAAAUGUCAAGUCUUCGACACAGUGUGAGGGACUCUACUCCCAAUCAAGGAAAUCACAAUUGUUACUUGCAGACAUCAUGUUAGUGAAAGUCAACCUAACAUGCCAGACCAAGAAAGAUACUUCAUAAUUUCAGAAAAAGUGCCCAUUAACAAAGAUAAGAUCGUGUUUUCUGUCCAAGCUCAAGACGGAGACGUUUCAGUGAACGCAAUCGAUUACUCGUUAGUCGAUCCUAGAGGCAGUUUCUCGAUUAAUCCAACGACCAGUGAAGUGAAAAUAGCCAAACUGAUUGACCGCGACGUCGAAGACUUUGUCUCCUACUUUGAUCUAAGCAUUACAGCAACCUGCUUGAAUUACCUGACAUUAG
rnacentral:misc_RNA from 1 species